rfam:Aedes aegypti strain Liverpool supercont1.56 genomic scaffold, whole genome shotgun sequence.
UGCCCAGUAACUCCUAUCCCUACCACCUCGUGGUACUGGCGGGGGUACGAGUAACCUUAGGGAAGAUCGGGUAACCAACCCUGGGAUCCUUAGUCGUAUGCUGACAGCGAAGG